UACGUAGGGUCCGAGCGUUAAUCGGAAUUACUGGGCGUAAAGCGUGCGCAGGCGGUCUUGUAAGCCAGAUGUGAAAGCCCCGGGCUCAACCUGGGAACUGCAUUUGGGACUGCAAGGCUGGAGUACGGCAGAGGGAGGUGGAAUUCCACGUGUAGCAGUGAAAUGCGUAGAGAUGUGGAGGAACACCAAUGGCGAAGGCAGCUCGCUGGGACGGUACUGACGCUGAGACGCGAAAGCGUGGGGAGCAAACAGG
rnacentral:rRNA from 1 species